AUACGGAGGAUGCGAGCGUUAUCCGGAUUUAUUGGGUUUAAAGGGUGCGUAGGUGGUAGAUUAAGUCAGCGGUGAAAGUUUGUCGCUCAACGAUAAAAUUGCCGUUGAUACUGGUUUACUUGAGUAUAGUUGAAGUAGGCGGAAUGCGUGGUGUAGCGGUGAAAUGCAUAGAUAUCACGCAGAACUCCGAUUGCGAAGGCAGCUUACUAAGUUAUAACUGACACUGAAGCACGAAAGCGUGGGUAUCAAACAGGAUUAGAUACCCUGGUAGUCCACGCAGUAAACGAUGAUUACUAGCUGUUUGCGAUACACGGUAAGCGGCCAAGCGAAAGCGUUAAGUAUUCCACCUGGGGAGUACGCCGGCAACGGUGAAACUCAAAUGAAUUGACGGGG
rnacentral:rRNA from 1 species